CCUGCGCGGGCGCAGGCGGCCGGGAUGGCGGGGCCCGGCUGGGGUCCCCCGCGCCUGGACGGCUUCAUCCUCACCGAGCGCCUGGGCAGCGGCACGUACGCCACGGUGUACAAGGCCUACGCCAAGAAGGACACUCGUGAGGUGGUAGCCAUAAAGUGUGUAGCCAAGAAAAGUCUGAACAAGGCAUCGGUGGAGAACCUCCUCACGGAGAUUGAGAUCCUCAAGGGCAUUCGACAUCCCCACAUUGUGCAGCUGAAAGACUUUCAGUGGGACAGUGACAAUAUCUACCUCAUCAUGGAGUUUUGCGCAGGGGGCGACCUGUCUCGCUUCAUCCAUACCCGCAGGAUUCUGCCUGAGAAGGUGGCGCGUGUCUUCAUGCAGCAGUUAGCUAGCGCCCUGCAAUUCCUGCAUGAACGGAGUAUCUCUCACCUGGAUCUGAAGCCACAGAACAUUCUACUGAGCUCCUUGGAGAAGCCCCACCUAAAACUGGCAGACUUUGGUUUCGCACAACACAUGUCCCCGUGGGAUGAGAAGCACGUGCUCCGUGGCUCCCCCCUCUACAUGGCCCCCGAGAUGGUGUGCCAGCGGCAGUAUGACGCCCGCGUGGACCUCUGGUCCGUGGGGGUCAUCCUGUAUGGUGAGACCUCUUUUCCCUGCUUCUCACCCUGAGGCCUACACUGUUUCCUCAGGCAAGGCCUCUCUAGGCCACUUCUGAAGGGUUCUGAUGAAAACUGACUGCUGGCCCAGGGCCCCUGCUGAGGGGCGUCAGGCCAGGCUUGACCCAUUCCAUCCCAGCCUUCGCUCUGCCUCCCUUCCACAGAAGCCCUCUUCGGGCAGCCCCCCUUUGCCUCCAGGUCGUUCUCAGAGCUGGAAGAGAAGAUCCGUAGCAACCGGGUCAUUGAGCUCCCCUUGCGGCCCCUGCUCUCCCGAGACUGCCGGGACCUACUGCAGCGGCUCCUGGAGCGGGACCCCAGCCGUCGCAUCUCCUUCCAGGACUUCUUUGCGCACCCCUGGGUGGACCUGGAGCACAUGCCCAGUGGGGAGAGUCUGGGGCGAGCAACCGCCCUGGUGGUGCAGGCUGUGAAGAAAGACCAGGAGGGGGAUGCAGCAGCCGCCUUAUCACUCUACUGCAAGGCUCUGGACUUCUUCGUACCUGCCCUGCACUAUGAAGUGGAUGCCCAGCGGAAGGAGGCAAUUAAGGCAAAGGUGGGGCAGUACGUGUCCCGGGCUGAGGAGCUCAAGGCCAUCGUCUCCUCUUCCAAUCAGGCCCUGCUGAGGCAGGGGACCUCCGCCCGAGACCUGCUCAGAGAGAUGGCCCGGGACAAGCCACGCCUCCUAGCUGCCCUGGAAGUGGCUUCAGCUGCCAUGGCCAAGGAGGAGGCCGCUGGCGGGGAGCAGGAUGCCCUGGACCUGUACCAGCACAGCCUGGGGGAGCUGCUGCUGCUGCUGGCAGGCGAGAGCUGCUUCACACUGAGGUUCAGAACCUCAUGGCCCGAGCUGAAUACCUGAAGGAGCAGGCCAAGAUGAGGGAAUCUCGCUGGGAAGCUGACACCCUGGACAAAGAGGGACUGUCGGAAUCUGUUCGUAGCUCUUGCACCCUUCAGUGACCCUAGAAGAAUGAUUGGACAGACGUGAGCCAUCUGGAGCAGAGGGACACUAACCCAGGCUGACGCCAAGAAUGAAGUGGCCCACUGCAGCCCUGGCGAGCAGGCUUCUUAGAUGGACAGAGCUGAGACCCCCACAUCCCAGAGUCCCCAGCCUCCCUCAGGUUACUCUGCACCCCACAGAUGGUUUGAUGGCUGUGCUGUAUACUGGAGGGGAGGGCAGGACUCUGGGAGAACAGCACUUCUUUCAUGAGACCUUUGUUACUUGGUGGUUACUGGGUCCUGUGCCUGUCUGUUUUGGGGCAUGCAGCCGUCUAUCGUUUUUGGCUCCGAGAAGAGGGCAAGGGGCCUCUGCAGGGCACUUCUGUGCUUGCCCUCGCCCUGCCAGCAGGCAGCUGUGCCCCUGGCCUGCCCUUCCCGGGACCCCUUAUUCCAACUUAGCUCCUCUUUGCACUGGAAUGGGGCACUCCAACACCCCUCAGGGACCACCCUCCCCACAGUACGCACACGGCCCCACAGAACCCACCAGUCUUUCUGGGAACUCACACCCGCCCGCCAUCUUGGUACUUUAAGUUAAUCCUUCAAGCAUGAAAGUUGUGUCUUUUGUGGUUUAAGAAGCCCAUGCAUUGUUCCUGUCCUGGCCUAGGGAGCACUCAGGAGGGUUCCUUGGUCCUCAUCUCUCCCACCUCCAUUCCUCUUUGGGCCCCACACUAGCCACAGUGCAGGCCUUGUGCUGGAGUUUGAGCCUGGGACAGAGAGGGAGGCUUGGAGAUGGUCUGACCCAGUGCACUCCAGGCUACCCACUUCUAGGCCUGCUCUGCCACUGUGGAGCCCUGGGCAAGCCCCUUCCCCUUUCUGGGCCUGGGUCUCCCCAUCUCUUCAAUGGGGCUGAUACCUUCACAGCCCACAGCAUGGGCACUUAUGAGGACAAAGGAAUUUAACCUGGAAAAGAAUGUAUUUGAGAAUUUCUUUUAAAUAAUCAGCGGGUGUUGGUGAUUUCUAGCCCUUCUGCCCUUAAAUGCUUCCUUGGGCAAGAGUUGUCUGUCCUCCCUGCAGGAGGCUGAGUGUGAAGAGUAUCAUUCAUUGUUUCUCUAUUAAAUUAUUUUCUCUA
rnacentral:sRNA from 1 species